UUUCACCUCAGAGCGCAUAAAUCUUUCGACUUUUACUAAAGAUUUCCGGGGAGUGGAA
rnacentral:snRNA from 10 species